CCUACGGGGUGCAGCAGUGAGGAAUAUUGGUCAAUGGGCUUACGCCUGAACCAGCCAAGUCGCGUGAGGGAAGACUGCCCUAUGGGUUGUAAACCUCUUUUGUCAGGGAGCAACGCCGGCUACGUGUAGCCGGACUGAGAGUACCUGAAGAAAAAGCAUCGGCUAACUCCGUGCCAGCAGCCGCGGUAAUACGGAGGAUGCGAGCUUUAUCCGGAUUUAUUGGGUUUAAGGGGUGCGUAGGCGGAAUGCCAAGUCAGCGGUAAAAUCGCGGGGCUCAACCUCGCUCCGCCGUUGAAACUGGCGGUCUUGAGUGGGCUAGAAGUAUGCGGAAUGCGUGGUGUAGCGGUGAAAUGCAUAGAUAUCACGCAGAACUCCGAUUGCGAAGGCAGCAUACCGGCGCCCAACUGACGCUGAAGCACGAAAGCGUGGGUAUCGAACAGGAUUAGAUACCCCUGUAGUC
rnacentral:rRNA from 1 species